rnacentral:sRNA from 1 species
GAGAUUGUUUAUCGUACGCUCCAGAAGCACCGACUCGGUGAUUUCGAGCUCAAGGCGGUCUGC